rnacentral:lncRNA from 1 species
CAACAAUGCCAGGAUGUCUGUUAAGAGUUCUGGGCACCAAUUGGUAAUUAAAGUUUUGCAGUCGUUCUCCUGGCUAUGCCUAUCUGUAUAUCUUCUGAUUUUUAUUCGAUUCCAUUCGAUCCUGCGGCGACAGUUACGUUUCAGAUAAGGUCCACUGUACCUCACAUUCUCACGUCAACGACGGCAGCGGUUUGCUUGCUUAAACCCAGCAACAAAGCAUAUAUGCUGCAGAAUCAGAAACGCUUUGCCGAUGCGGCG